rnacentral:lncRNA from 1 species
NNGAAUUCUUGGUUCCCCAGGACCUUGUGGUGGACGCCUUCUUUCACUGAGCAUUCAUGGGGUGACUAUUAGGUACCAUGCCCUGCUCUGGGCUAGAGACCCCAUAAUGAGUAAAUCUCAGGUCACUACCCCAUGGAACCCACCACUGCAGGCAUUGAGAGGGGGAGAAAGAAAGGGGCAUGGCCUGUUUGUAUCCUUCUCACGUGGCCGUCCACCAGGUCCUGGGGGAGUGGGAGCCAGUGCGAGGAGGGAAGUCCAGUGAGAAUGACAAAUGGACGAUGUCAGACCCAGGGGCUGAGGCCCCCACCUGCAGGAGCAGCAGGAAAGGUUGCGGCCUGGUGUUCUGGGAUCCACUGUCUCAUCUCAUUCUUUUGGGCACCAGAACUUAUCCAAAGACAAGACUCAGUGUCUCUGGCAACAGUGGGCCAGAGGAAUUAUGUGUUUCAGAGGAGGAAGAAGGGGUUGUACCCCAUGGAAACAGUAUAUAGUUUUACAGUAGUGCGUCUGUCUCCAAUAACUAGUUAGCGUGUUCCUGUUAAUGGAAAAUACUGGUGGUGUAAGUUCCCCUGGAUGUUCUCAUCUUCAUGUAAAUUUGUUCAUUUCCUUCCUUCCUUCCCUACUUCUCUCCUUCCCUACUUCUCUCCCACUCUUUUUCUCUCUCUCUUUAUUCUUUCCCUCCCUCCUUCCCUUCCACCCUCCCUCCCUUCCUUCCUUCCUUCCUUCCUCCCUUCCUCCCUGCCUCCCUCCCUCCCUCCCUCCCUUCCUUCCUUCCUUCCUCCCUCCCUUCCUCCUUCCUUCCCUCCCUCCAUUCUUUCCUUUCUUCCUUUCUUCUUUUCUUUUUCUUUGUCUCUCAUGCUCUCUCUUU